GUGAGAAAUAAACCUCUGUGUUAGAGUGAGAGAGAGGGAGAGAAGAAAAAGAAAGAAAAAGAGAAUGCUAAUUGUGCUAAGGACGCUGACAGAUUUGACAGAAAGUGUCUUCAUUGAGAAAUUGCCAUCUGAAGUUCCCCCUUGUUCCUAGAGACGCAGGAGGGGGAGGCACGAGGGAGGCUGACAGGAAGUGAGGAUUCGAAACUUCAAAUACAAACAUUAUGAAAAACAAGCAACAUCUGCAAACACAAACCAUUAGGCAGCCACACUCCAGCCCAGCCACUGAGAGGAAAUCGAAGAGAAGAGUUCCCUGGCCGGGCCAGGCAGGACAGCCUAUCAGCUCCUGGUCACUGUCACUGAUCAUCCCAGCCCAGGCUGCGGCUCUUCUCCCCGCAUGGCAUGACGACGCCAUCACCCUCAUAGUUACCAAAGUGUUAGAAUAGUCGUGACCACUAAAAAGUAAGUAAAUUCAUCACCAGGUUGAAAACUGUGCUGGAGAGCCUAUAAUCUGGGAAUAGUGUUUGUGUCUGAAAUCACACAGAGAUCAGAGCAAAAUUGUCCCGUGUCAUGAGAAGAUGGGUCACCCCUCUGCAUUUGACAUUUUGAGAUGUUUGCAUCUGUACAGAGGGAGAAAGAGGGCUGGAGAGAAACGACUGCAACGAGAGCAAAAAGGAAAAACAGUAAAGACGUUAGAGACAUUCAUUUUGGAAACACCCUCACGUUACAGAGCACCCAACGAAUACUAUGAAAAGUGGUCAUUAUCAGCCCGGCAAACACUGCUGUGCCGUCUUGCUUGCGAGGAAUGCUGCUGCAUGGGUUUCAAGACAAGAAUCCAGGCUGAAUCAGCAGUGCGGUUUCAACAGUGAUGAGAACAAGUAACUAAGAUCUCUUCUUCCCUUAUUGCUGCAGAAGAGCAAUUAAGGCUGCAUAUUUAGAGAUGAUAUCAGCCAGGAAUCCUGCACAGAGAGAAAAACUCGUUGCAUUUUUUUCUUUCUUCCUUUCCCCGUUCCCUUUUCUGUCCAAAGGAAACCCACAGCAAACUGCGUAAAUGCCGCAGGCACGCAAGCCGACUCCAAACCGCCUACCAAGGGUCAGCUCUACCUGCAGCUGUUGCACAAAAUAAAAUCAACGCAGCCCACCCCAGGCAAACACCCUCUGUGGCUCUUUAUUACCAAAUGAUAUGAACUUUGACCCAACCUGAACAAAAUUUAAUAUUUUCUCCCAAAUAUUUAAAAAAUUCAUUCUGGGGCUUGAGUGGAGUCAGGGAGUCUGCGAGCCGUAAUUUGACAUCUGAAUUAUUCUGAGGCUAAUACGGAAAGCUAUUCAGGAGCUUAUUUGGAGAUGUGUCAAUCAAGAUAUCACUUGUACAGGGAAGAUGGACUCAGGCUUAGGAGUGCAGAUAGCUUUCAGGGAAUCACAAAAUAAAAACCAGGCAGGCUCUGAUGAAUACGUUACGUCUUCAUUCUUGAUGAUGACAUUUUUUUUUUCUUGAUAGAGAGUACAGACCUAACAGAGCGAUGUCUCAGGGACGUGCCUUUUUCCACACCUGUGAAAACAUUUUAACGUUUAUUUAAAAUGAUAACCAUAAACAACAAACAUGGUGUCGAAACUCGCCUCUGUUCAUUUUACUGCGCUGAUUAAGAUUUUAAGCAACGCUUCUAAAUUAGACUGUCAGGCAGCCAUCCUCAAUGCAGGGUUGAGGUUCUGAUCUCGAGCUAGCUUGUGUGAACACACGGCCUUUCUGGGUUGAUUGUGAGCCUGGCCAGCAGCCUUCAAUGUUCUUUCAUUCAUUUUCGAUGAGACGGGGAGGGAUUCAAUUAGCCCUGAUUGUCCAUGAGAUGUGGCCCAAAAUAAAACCACUGGGCUCUGAUAGCCUCCUCUCAAGGUAUUUCCCAGCUGACAGGUAACAAUGUUAAUUACCCAUUAUUAUGA
rnacentral:lncRNA from 10 species